GACGAACGCUGGCGGCGUGCCUAAUACAUGCAAGUAGAACGCUGAAGGAAGGAGCUUGCUCUUUCCGGAUGAGUUGCGAACGGGUGAGUAACGCGUAGGUAACCUGCCUGGUAGCGGGGGAUAACUAUUGGAAACGAUAGCUAAUACCGCAUAACAGUAGAUAUCGCAUGAUAGCUGCUUGAAAGGUGCAAUUGCAUCACUACCAGAUGGACCUGCGUUGUAUUAGCUAGUUGGUGAGGUAACGGCUCACCAAGGCAACGAUACAUAGCCGACCUGAGAGGGUGAUCGGCCACACUGGGACUGAGACACGGCCCAGACUCCUACGGGAGGCAGCAGUAGGGAAUCUUCGGCAAUGGACGGAAGUCUGACCGAGCAACGCCGCGUGAGUGAAGAAGGUUUUCGGAUCGUAAAGCUCUGUUGUAAGAGAAGAACGAGUGUGAGAGUGGAAAGUUCACACUGUGACGGUAUCUUACCAGA
rnacentral:rRNA from 1 species